AUGCUUUGCAAUUGCUUGCUUCCUACCACCCAAGUAUCUUUCAGCAACCAUAAAAGGCCACCCUCUCUUCCCCUACCUCCCUCCUCUAGAGCCGAAGACCUUUAACUUUAUCGAUAAGAGAUCACGACGAAAAUAAGCAAUGGCUCAGCUUAGAAACAACUUCGUCAUUCUUCAAGUACUUCUCCUCUCAGUGCUUCUCAUUUCCUUAGUUUCAGGUAACAACACUGUUGAAGGCUUCAAGGAUGACAAUGAUCAGUUACUUCACAAGGGUGUCAAAGUGAAUUCAAGGAAGCUGUUUAUGAUGCCAGAUGCAACAAUGCAUGACUACGAUGAUGCGGGAGCCAACCCCAAACACGACCCUCGAAGGAGACCUGGCAAUGGGAGAAACCCAUGAUCGAUUAUCGACUGCUACUAUACGACUACUACUACUACUUGAUCCACUUAUAGUAUCGAUAAUUUUGAUCAUGUACUAAGGAAUUAAAGGAGACGAUGUACGUCACCUGAUAUACAGGGCUAGCAUUAAUCCAGACUAGAGUUUCUUCAAUAAUGCUGAUAUGAUAUGCUGGUGUACUAGUCUAACGAGUUGUCCUGUGUGGCCAUUAGCCAUAUAUAGGAAUGCCAACUUCAUAUCAUAUGCAAUUCCUUUUGGCUACUGUUUCUCUAUUAUAUAUGUAUCAAGUAUGAAAUAAACUUUCUGCCAUUGGCACUGUAUGAAU